rnacentral:rRNA from 1 species
AUACGUAGGGGGCGAGCGUUGUCCGGAAUGAUUGGGCGUAAAGGGCGCGUAGGCGGCCCGGUAAGUCUGGAGUGAAAGUCCUGUUUUUAAGAUGGGAAUUGCUUUGGAUACUGUCGGGCUUGAGUGCAGGAGAGGGAAGUGGAAUUCCCAGUGUAGCGGUGAAAUGCGUAGAGAUUGGGAGGAACACCAGUGGCGAAGGCGACUUACUGGACUGUAACUGACGCUGAGGCGCGAAAGUGUGGGGAGCAAACAGGAUUAGAUACCCAGGUAGUCCACACUGUAAACGAUGAAUACUAGGUGUAGGGGGUAUCGACCCCUUCUGUGCCGCAGUCAACACAAUAAGCAUUCCGCCUGGGGAGUACGGCCGCAAGGUUGAAACUCAAAGGAAUUGGCGGGG